CAUAGAGGUCUCAUAGAGGGCUCAUAGAGGGCUCAUAGAGGGCUCAUAGAGGGCUCAUAGAGGGCUCAUAGAGGUCUCAUAGAGGGCUCAUAGAGGGCUCAUAGAGGUCUCAUAGAGGGCUCAUAGAGGUCUCAUAGAGGUCUCAUAGAGGGCUCAUAGAGGUCUCAUAGAGGUCUCAUAGAGGGCUCAUAGAGGUCUCAUAGAGGGCUCAUAGAGGUCUCAUAGAGGUCUCAUAGAGGGCUCAUAGAGGUCUCAUAGAGGGGUCAUAGAGAGAGCAUAGAGGGAGCAUAGAGGGCUCAUAGGGGCCACAUAGAGGGCUCAUAGAGGGCACAUAUAGGGCUCAUAGAGGGCACAUAGAGGGCUCAUAGAGGCCUCAUAGAGGUCACAUAGAGGGCUCAUAGAGGGCACAUAGAGGGCUCAUAGAGGGCACAUAGAGGGCACAUAGAGGGCACAUAGAGCAGUAGUGUGCCGUAUAUAAGGAAUAGGGUUCAAUUUAGGACACAGGCUGGGUCCUCUUCACCUGUUCAGUAACCAGGGAACCCUGGUGCAGGCCAGAGGUCAUCCUCACCUGUUCAGUAACCAGGGAACCCUGGUGCAGGCCAGAGGUCAUCCUUACCUGUUCAGUAACCAGGGAACCCUGGUGCAGGCCAGAGGUCAUCCUCACCUGUUCAGUAACCAGGGAACACUGGUGCAGGCCAGAGGUCAUCCUUACCUGUUCAGUAACCAGGGAACACUGGUGCAGGCCAGAGGUCAUCCUUACCUGUUCAGUAACCAGGGAACCCUGGUGCAGGCCAGAGGUCAUCCUUACCUGUUCAGUAACCAGGGAACACUGGUGCAGGCCAGAGGUCAUCCUUACCUGUUCAGUAACCAGGGAACCCUGGUGCAGGCCAGAGGUCAUCCUCACCUGUUCAGUAACCAGGGAACCCUGGUGCAGGCCAGAGGUCAUCCUUACCUGUUCAGUAACCAGGGAACCCUGGUGCAGGCCAAAGGUCAUCCUUACCUGUUCAGUAACCAGGGAACACUGGUGCAGGCCAAAGGUCAUCCUUACCUGUUCAGUAACCAGGGAACCCUGGUGCAGGCCAAAGGUCAUCCUUACCUGUUCAGUAACCAGGGAACCCUGGUGCAGG